AGAUGAUAGGAACACUGUGGCCAAUUUUCAGCAAGUUGCAACAUUGAACUAACCACUUUUCCAAUAAACAAGGUCUAAAUCAUGUUUGACGCAAUCUGUAAGUGCAAUUUCUGCAUUACUGUUUAAUCUAGAUGAUAGGAACACGGUGGACAAUUUUCAGCAAGUUGCAACAUUGAAAUACAGAAAUAACCACUUUUCCAUAAACAAGGUCUAAAUCAUGUUUGAUGCGCUCGCUAAGUGCAAUCUAAGUGCAAUGUUUUGCCUUGCUGUUUAAUCUAGAU